CCCCCAUCUAUCACCAUUAGUAAAUGCUGAGCCAAGCAGACAUGGUAAUCCUUACGUGGGCCACCUGCCAUCUCUCUGGGACAAAUCAGAGGCGAAAUAGCAGCUACACACCCUGUUUCCUCAACAGUUUCAGACCCUGGUUCAUUCUGACUUAUUCUACUGUCAAUCAUGCUAUUAUGAAAAAAAAAAGAGCAUUGUUUGUUUGGGGCCAAACAGGGAUAUGCAUUAGAGCCAAAGUCUUCGUUCAGUGGGUCUACAGAUGUGACCACCACCUCCACAGAAAUUUAAGUUGAAAAGUUUCAUGAAGAGUCAAACUAACGCAGAACCAGUUGUGGGUAAGAGGCUGCAUUUGCUCAGGGGUUUUUAAAAAUAUUCCCUGUGGGCAAAAUCCAGUGUGUUUUCCAUUUUGAAUAAAGUUUUAUUGGUGCACAUCCCGGCCACUCAUUUUUAUUUUCUCCAGGGCUGUUUUUGCACUACAAUGAGAUAAUUGAGAACUUGUCACAAAUCUUUAGUUUCUGGUCCUGUACUGAAAGUUUACUGACUUCUGAAUUCCAGAAACAAGAGGAAAACUGUCCCUUCGUGGAGAAGCUGAGAAGGCCCAACGAUU
rnacentral:lncRNA from 1 species